rnacentral:lncRNA from 1 species
UGAGUUCUUGUGCUUGGUGGAUAUCGGGAGCAUUCUCCGAUAUCGGUGUUUAGAAUUAGUCGGCUCUGAUCUAGGCUUCGUUGUGUCGGUCUAGAUUAGGUUAUCUUUGGAUUUUGUUAUGUUUGGAGAUUACCCGUUUGUUGGGAUUUUUGAGAUGCAUCUAUGUUGAUGUAAUUUAUUUAUUCAUAACAUUUAUAUUUGAAUUUACUCUGGUUUAUAUUCCGCUGCGAC